rnacentral:rRNA from 1 species
UACGAAGGGGGCUAGCGUUGCUCGGAAUCACUGGGCGUAAAGCGCACGUAGGCGGCUUCUUAAGUCAGGGGUGAAAUCCUGGAGCUCAACUCCAGAACUGCCCUUGAUACUGAGGAGCUUGAGUCCGGGAGAGGUGAGUGGAACUGCGAGUGUAGAGGUGAAAUUCGUAGAUAUUGGGUGGAACACCGGUGGCGAAAGCGGCUCACUGGCUCGGUUCUGACGCUGAGGCGCGAAAGCGUGGGGAGCAAACAGG